GAUGAACGCUGGCGGCGUGCCUAAUACAUGCAAGUCGAGCGAACGGACGAGAAGCUUGCUUCUCUGAUGUUAGCGGCGGACGGGUGAGUAACACGUGGAUAACCUACCUAUAAGACUGGGAUAACUUCGGGAAACCGGAGCUAGUACCGGAUAAUAUUUUGAACCGCAUGGUUCAAAAGUGAAAGACGGUCUUGCUGUCACUUAUAGAUGGAUCCGCGCUGCAUUAGCUAGUUGGUAAGGUAACGGCUUACCAAGGCAACGAUGCAUAGCCGACCUGAGAGGGUGAUCGGCCACACUGGAACUGAGACACGGUCCAGACUCCUACGGGAGGCAGCAGUAGGGAAUCUUCCGCAAUGGGCGAAAGCCUGACGGAGCAACGCCGCGUGAGUGAUGAAGGUCUUCGGAUCGUAAAACUCUGUUAUUAGGGAAGAACAUAUGUGUAAGUAACUGUGCACAUCUUGACGGUACCUAAUCAGAAAACCACGGCUAACUACGU
rnacentral:rRNA from 1 species